rnacentral:rRNA from 1 species
GACGAACGCUGGCGGCGUGCUUAACACAUGCAAGUCGAACGGAAAGGCCCUGCUUUUGUGGGGUGCUCGAGUGGCGAACGGGUGAGUAACACGUGAGUAACCUGCCCUUGACUUCGGGAUAACUUCAGGAAACUGGGGCUAAUACCGGAUAGGAGCUCCUGCUGCAUGGUGGGGGUUGGAAAGUUUCGGCGGUUGGGGAUGGACUCGCGGCUUAUCAGCUUGUUGGUGGGGUAGUGGCUUACCAAGGCUUUGACGGGUCGCCGGCCUGAGAGGGUGACCGGCCACAUUGGGACUGAGAUACGGCCCAGACUCCUACGGGAGGCAGCAGUGGGGAAUAUUGCACAAUGGGCGGAAGCCUGAUGCAGCAACGCCGCGUGCGGGAUGACGGCCUUCGGGUUGUAAACCGCAUUCGCCUGUGACGAAGCGUGAGUGACGGUAAUGGGUAAAGAAGCACCGGCUAACUACGUG